rnacentral:rRNA from 1 species
GUGGGGGAUAUUGCACAAUGGGGGAAACCCUGAUGCAGCGACGCCGCGUGAAGGAAGACGUACUUCGGUAUGUAAACUUCUAUCAGCAGGGAAGAAGAUGACGGUACCUGACUAAGAAGCCACGGCUAACUACGUGCCAGCAGCCGCGGUAAUACGUAGGGGGCAAGCGUUAUCCGGAUUUACUGGGUGUAAAGGGAGCGUAGACGGUGAAGCAAGUCUGAUGUGAAAACCCGGGGCUCAACUCCGGGAUUGCAUUGGAAACUGUUUUACUUGAGUGCUGGAGGGGCAAGCGGAAUGCCUGGUGUAGCGGUGAAAUGCGUAGGUAGCAGGAAGAACACCGGUGGCGAAGGCGGCUUACUUGACAGUAACUGACGUUGAGGCUCGAAAGCGUGGGGAGCAAACAGGAUUAGAAACCCGAGUAGUCC